GUGCUUGCUUCAGCAGCACAUUUAUUACUAGAAUGAUACAGAGAAGAUUUGCAUGACCCCUGCCCAAGGAUGACAGGCAAAUCUGUGAAAUGUUCCAUAUUAAA